AUCCAGCCGACGAGUCCCAAAUGGGACGAAACGGGCGUCAAACUGGAU
rfam:Schistosoma mansoni strain Puerto Rico chromosome 4, complete genome